rnacentral:rRNA from 1 species
UUACCCGCUGAAACUUAAGCAUAUCAAUAAGCGGAGGAAAAGAAACUAACAAGGAUUCCCCUAGUAACUGCGAGUGAAGCGGGAAGAGCUCAAAUUUAAAAUCUGGCAGUCCUCUGGCUGUCCGAGUUGUAAUCUGGAGAAGUGUUUUCUGUGUUAGACCGUGUACAAGUCUCCUGGAACGGAGCGUCAUAGAGGGUGAGAAUCCCGUCCAUGACACGGACGACUAAUACUUUGUGAUACGCUCUCAAAGAGUCGAGUUGUUUGGGAAUGCAGCUCAAAAUGGGUGGUAAAUUCCAUCUAAAGCUAAAUACAGGCGAGAGACCGAUAGCGAACAAGUACCGUGAGGGAAAGAUGAAAAGCACUUUGGAAAGAGAGUUAAACAGUACGUGAAAUUGUUGAAAGGGAAACGCUUGAAGUCAGUCGCGUUGUGCAGAACUCAGCCUUGCCUCUUGGCUUGGUGUACUUUCUGCACAAAACGGGUCAACAUCAAUUUUGGUCCAUGGAGAAAGGUGGAGGGAAUGUAGCGCUGUUUCGGCAGCGUGUUAUAGCCCUCUGCUGUAUACAUGGGUUGGGAUUGAGGAACGCAGCACGCCCUUGUGGCCGGGGGUUCGCCCCACGUACCGUGCUUAGGAUGUUGGCAGAAUGGCUUUAAGCGACCCGUCUUGAAACACGGACCAAGGAGUCUAACAUGCUUGCGAGUGUUCGGGUGGAAAACCCUUGUGCGUAAUGAAAGUGAAAGUUGGGAACCUCCGCAAGGGGGUGCACCGACGCCCGGCCCUGACGUUCUCUGACGGUGCUGCGGUAGAGCAAGUAUGCUGGGACCCGAAAGAUGGUGAACUAUGCCUGAAUAGGGCGAAGCCAGAGGAAACUCUGGUGGAGGCUCGUAGCGAUUCUGACGUGCAAAUCGAUCGUCAAAUUUGGGUAUAGGGGCGAAAGACUAAUCGAACCCUCUUGGCC